CAAUUCUACACGGAAAGGCACCAUUCUCCAUGAUGCUCAUGGCUCCCAGUGCUCAGCCCUGUGUUUUCUAGGCAUACCUCGUUGGACUCCAUGGUUUCUGUUACUUGUGGGUUUCUUCCUGCAUUGCUUGAACUUGACUCAGUGCAUUUGCUGAGCAGGCCACCAACUGUUGGCAUGUGCAUACCAUCUAGUACCCAAAAUACUUCGAGAAAUGCUUCUUCUCUCCAGUUUGAAUCAUGUGAGUUGAGUAAGACCACAGAAGAAUCCGUUCCUGAAAUGUAGGACUUGGGAGAGAGAGCAUGAUGCCGGUCCUUUCUGGAGGCAGACAAUUCAAGUCUUUUUCUUUAUUUCAGCUUACAAGUGUUUGAGCAUUACUUCCUAGCCACAGAAGAC
rnacentral:lncRNA from 1 species